AGAGCGAACGCUGGCGGCAGGCCUAACACAUGCAAGUCGAACGGAUCCUUCGGGAUUAGUGGCGGACGGGUGAGUAACACGUGGGAACGUGCCUUUGGUUCGGAACAACUCAGGGAAACUUGAGCUAAUACCGAAUGUGCCCUUCGGGGAAAGAUUAUCGCCAUUAGAGCGGCCCGCGUCUGAUUAGCUAGUUGGUGAGGUAAAGGCUCACCAAGGCUUCGAUCAGUAGCUGGUCUGAGAGGAUGAUCAGCCACAUUGGGACUGAGACACGGCCCAAAACUCCUACGGGAGGCAGCAGUGGGGAAUCUUGCGCAAUGGGACGAAAGCCUGACGCAGCCAUGCCGCGUGAAUGAUGAAGUCUUAGGAUUGUAAAAUUCUUCACGGGGACGAUAAUGACGGUACCGAGAAGAAGCCCCGCUAAACUUCGUGCCAGCAGCCGC
rnacentral:rRNA from 1 species